UACGUAGGGGGCAAGCGUUGUCCGGAUUUAUUGGGCGUAAAGAGCGUGUAGGCGGCCAGGUAGGUCUGCUGUGAAAACUCGAGGCUUAACCUCGAGCUGUCGGCGGAAACCAUCUGGCUAGAGUCCGGAAGAGGAGAAUGGAAUUCCCGGUGUAGCGGUGAAAUGCGCAGAUAUCGGGAGGAACACCAAUGGCGAAAGCAGGUAUCUGGACUAUUACUGACACUCAGCUGCGAAAGCUAGGGGAGCAAACAGG
rnacentral:rRNA from 1 species